rnacentral:rRNA from 1 species
GACGAACGCUGGCGGCGUGCUUAACACAUGCAAGUCGAACGAAGAGCGAUGGAAGUUUGCUUCUAUCAAUCUUCGUGGCGAACGGGUGAGUAACGCGUAAUCAACCUGCCCUUCAGAGGGGGACAACAGUUGGAAACGACUGCUAAUACCGCAUACGAUCUAAACUCGGCAUCGAGGAUAGAUGAAAGGUGGUCUCUACAUGUAAGCUAUCACUCAAGGCGGGGUUUGCGUCUGAUUAGCUAGUUGGGGGGGUAAAGGCCCACCCAGGGGAUGAACAGUAGCCCGACCGGGAGGAGGGAUCGCCACAUUGGGACCGAGACACGGGUCAGAAUCCCACGGGAGGGAGCAAGUGGGAAACUUCCGGAAUGGACGAAAGUCUUGCGGGACAACGCCGCGUGGGUGAAGGCGGGCUUCGGGUUGUAAAGCUCUGUUAAUCGGGACGAAAGGACUUCGUGCGAAUAGUGAGAAGGAUUGACGGUACCGGAAUAGAAAGCCACGGCUAACUACGUG